rnacentral:rRNA from 1 species
UGAACGCUGGCGGCAGGCCUAACACAUGCAAGUCGAGCGGCAGCACGGGUACUUGUACCUGGUGGCGAGCGGCGGACGGGUGAGUAAUGCCUAGGAAUCUGCCUGGUAGUGGGGGACAACGUUUCGAAAGGAACGCUAAUACCGCAUACGCCCUACGGGGAAAGCAGGGGAUCGUAAGACCUUGCGUUAAUGGAGCGGCCGAUAUCUGAUUAGCUUGUUGGUGAGGUAAAGGCUCACCAAGGCGACGAUCAGUAGC